UACGUAGGGUGCAAGCGUUAAUCGGAAUUACUGGGCGUAAAGCGUGCGCAGGUCGGUGAUGUAAGACAGAUGUGAAAUCCCCGGGCUCAACCUGGGACCUGCAUUUGUGACUGCAUCGCUAGAGUACGGUAGAGGGGGAUGGAAUUCCGCGUGUAGCAGUGAAAUGCGUAGAUAUGCGGAGGAACACCCGUGGCGAAGGCGGCCUCUCUGGGACGGUACUGACGGCUGAGACGCGAAAGCGUGGGGAGCGAACAGG
rnacentral:rRNA from 1 species